UAAUUUAAGUCCGUAAUUGCUUGAGUUAUUCUUACAUGAGAACACUUGGGAUAAAACCUAAGGAAAUUGCAUGAUCUAGCGUUAUCUCCAUACGUUUGGGUAGCUAAGAUUGGAUCUCUCUAUUUCUUAAUGCAAUUGACAAUUGUUCUGAUGCCUAAGGCCCAAGGACAUUCCUUGGCAAUUUGUUAAUUAGUAAUUAAUUAGAGGACGUUCCCUAAUUGAUUUAAUCAUAAGGAGAGAUAAUGGUGGUGAGAAGCAUCUUUCAUCCCCAUAACUAAUCUAUUG
rnacentral:lncRNA from 1 species